rnacentral:lncRNA from 1 species
GGUUAGGGUUUCUUUCUCGCUUCAGAGUUCGGAUUAUUCUCUCGUUCAAUCUCAAUAACGAUCAUGAUGCAGCCAGCGCCCGGAGCGGUCCCACCCCCGCCACCACCGAUGGCCGCUCACCAGUACCAAUACCAACAACAGGCGCCGCCUCAGCAGCAGCCGCCACCGCAACCCUCGCCGUACAUGAUGAUGAUGCCGCCUCAGCCCCAGGCCCAGCCUCCUGCCAUGUGGGCCACGCAGGCUGCUGCUCCUCAGGCGGCGGGAGUUGCGGUACCACCUCAGCAGCAGGGUCAGCCCGGUGAGAUCCGGACCCUGUGGAUCGGGGACUUGCAGUAUUGGAUGGAUGAGACCUAUCUCAACACUUGUUUUGCACACACCGGCGAGGUAUUAAUAUGAUAAAACAACGUCACUCUUUCCUGUAGGUUUUGAUUCUUAAUUCACUCAAUCCGUGGAUUUGUUUAUUUCUUUGUUUUUGUUCGUUUAUUCAUAUUUUAUUUCUAAUAACCAAAAGAAUCUUCGGUUGGUAAUUUUUUCCAUAAUACCUUUUAAUUUUUUUUGGUCCAGAUUGCCCCGGAACGGCUUCCUUUUUUUUUUUUUUUGGUUUUAGGGGUUUAUAAUAGCUGUUAUUUUAUUCAUAACAGCUAUUAUUUUAUAAGAUAUCCAUGAUGAUUUUUCAGUGUUACUGGAAAUCAUAACAGUAGGUUAAAUAUGUUAAAAUAAUAAUGUCAUUGAUUGCUUGAAAUUGGAAUGUUUGAGACUUUGAGCUUCAGUUGAUGUGUUUUUACAUUUCCUCUUGGUUGAAAAAGCAUUAGUUGGUAACUAUAAUGCUUCAAGGUAUUGUGCCUGAUUGUCAAUUAAGUGCUAUAAGAACUAGCAAUCUGCAACUUGAAUAUAAAGAUGGUUUAAUUUUGAUUGAUAUGUAUGGUUGCUUGGUUUGAUGUAAAUCAAAUGUCGUGAUGCUUUAAUUCUUCCUUUUUUCAAAAAAAAAAAAAUUCUUCUCCUGUGUGAAUUUGAUUGGAAAAACUGAAUUUAAGAAAGUCAGAUUUUGAAACUGUAUCAUUAGUUACUAUUUAUGCAUAAAAAGUCCAAUCUAGUUUGAAACAGUCCAAUCUAGUUUGAAACUGUAUCAUUAAUUAUUUGAGUUAUGUAGAACUAUUUAUGCAUAUUUUAUUUAUCACGUGGACAGAGCUUAGAUAAAUCAAUGGGUGGGAGGGGGGUGUCUUAUGCCAUAUUUCCUAUCACUGAAAAAAUGGUUAUUUUUGCAGGUUGUCGCUGUAAAAGUAAUUCGUAAUAAGCAAACUGGUCAAAUAGAAGGUUAUGGAUUUAUUGAGUUUAUUUCGCGUGCUGGUGCUGAAAGAGUUUUGCAGACAUUUAACGGUACCCCUAUGCCAAACGGUGAGCAGAACUUCAGGCUAAACUGGGCAUCUUUUGGUGCUGGCGAGAAGCGCGAUGACACCCCUGACCACACAAUAUUUGUUGGAGAUUUGGCUGCUGACGUUACUGAUUACAUGCUUCAAGAGACCUUCAGGGCCCGCUAUCCCUCUACUAAAGGUGCAAAGGUUGUCAUUGAUAGGCUUACUGGACGCACAAAGGGUUAUGGAUUUGUGAGAUUUGGUGAUGAAAGUGAACAGCUACGUGCCAUGAC